UUGGGAACUAGAAUCGGUCAUGUACACAUCAGUACUUAACUUAUUGGCCUCAAUUCGAUCCUCUUCUAGCUUCAAGAUUAUCAUGACAUCUUCAAGAGAUAUAAUGCCUUCAUUAUGGGUUAGAUGAAUCUUCAUAUGUUCCCAACUUUGGGGUAAAGAAUGAAUCACAGCUUGGACCUGUUAUUCAUUAGUAAGAACAUGACCAACAUUUUUCAGCUCAUUUAUCAUGUUUGACAUUUCUCUUAUAUGUUUUUUCAUUGUAUGAUUAGGGUGUUUCUUAUAAGUCUCAAACUUGAUAGCAAGUGACCAAAGUUUGAUCAAGGACAUACCACCAAACCUUUAAGCUAAUGCGGGUCACAUGUCCUUAACUAGGUCAUACUUCCUGAACUCUCUCAUGAUACC
rnacentral:lncRNA from 1 species